CACCAGCUCUUCGAGUGGUGUGGAUGUUUAUUGGGCCUAAAGCAUCCGUAGCUGGCUGGGCAAGUCCCCUGUUAAAUCCACCGAUUUAAUCGUUGGAGUGCGGGGGAUACUGCUCGGCUAGGGGACGGGAGAGGCAGACGGUAUUUUCGGGGUAGGGGUGAAAUCCUAUAAUCCCGGGAAGACCACCAGUGGCGAAGGCUGUCUGCUAGAACGCGCCCGACGGUGAGGGAUGAAAGCUGGGGGAGCGAACCGGAUUAGAUACCCGGGUAGUCCCAGCUGUAAACGAUGCAGGCUAGGUGUUUGGACGGCCACGUGCCGUUCUAGUGCCGCAGGGAAGCCGUUAAGCCUGCCGCCUGGGGAGUACGGCCGCAAGGCUGAAACUUAAGGAUUGGCGGGGAGCACCACAAGGGGUGAAGCUUGCGGUUU
rnacentral:rRNA from 1 species